UAGGCGGAGGCGUUGACGGGCACGCCGAACAGGCGCAGGUAGUCCUUGUUGGUGUUGGCCAGGUCGGCCACGCUCUUCAGGUCCCACACCGAGGCCAGCGCGGUCACGGGCGACAGGACCAGGCCGGUCAGGCCGGCGGGCAGCGUGGAGGCCACCGUGUCGUCCGUGUACACGGCGCCGGUGACCGCGUCCUUGCAAGAGCCCUUGUAGGAGGCGUCCUUGCCGGCGUAGCUGGCCAUGCCGCUGUGGGAGGGAAGAAGAGGGAGGGAGAGAUGAUAAGUACAUGCGCACAACAUUGUCCUGUGCAAUGGCAAUAGCAGGAGAACUCUCCAGUAAAGCAACCCUAUUCACAAAGCAAGUACUCACGUGAAGUUGCCCGCGGUGGUGGUGACGGUGAGGUCGCCAAUUAGCACGUUGCAGGACAGCGGGCCGGUGGCCAGACCGCGGGCCGAGUAGUUGGCGGUCGACAGCGGCGGCGAGGGGGGAGGCGAGGGCGCGGGCGACGGGGGAGGCGAGGGCGGGGGCGAGGGCACGGUGAUGAGCGCGGGUGAGGGGCGGGGCACGUAGGCCGGGCCGGUGGCGCUGCCGGCACGCAGCACGGUCUGGCUGACAGCCACAUCCACCGUGUCACCAGCCAUGGGCUUGUAGGUGGCGGCGGCGGUGAGCGUGAGGCUCAGGCCGUCGGCGCUGACGGCGCAGGCCGACAGAGGGCUGGCGACGGCGCUGCCGUUGCGGGCAAUGACCACGGCGGCAUUGCAGUCGGCGGCAGCGGUGCUGGUGAGGACCGAGGCGGUGGGCAGGGCGACGGUGACGAUGGUGGCGUUGGUGAGCGUGGCGGACACGAUGUUGGGGGUGACCAGCACGCCGGCCUUGGAGGGCACGUAGGCGGUGGUGCCGUCAGCCAGGGUCAGGGCCCUCUGGCCGGGCACGAUGUUCAGCACAUCGCCGCCCACAAACGAGGCCGCGGGGAUGGUCACCGCCAGCGUCACGCCGUCGGCGCCCAGGCUGCAGCUGCUCACGUUCUUGGCCACGCCGCCCGCACCCAGCAGCGCCAGCACCGCCUUGCAGUCGGCGCCAGUGGCCAGGGCGCUGGCGAAGGGCAGGCGCACAGUGAUGGCGGUGGCGGAGGUCAGGUUGGCGUUGGCGAACAGCGCGGGGUUCACCACCUGCGCCGCCAGCUUGGGCACGUAGCUGGGGCCGGUGGCCAGCGCCGAGGAGCGCAGCUCGGCCUGCUCCGGCUUGAUGUUGACGGUGUCGCCGGCGCUGAAGUUGCCAGCCGACAGCAGCUUCACCUGCAGGCCCAGGCGGUCGGGCAUCAGCAUGCAGGACGCCACAGUGCCGUUCUUGGUCACGCCCGCAGCCGUCUUGAACUCAAUGGCGCGCAGGCAGUCGGGGACGGUGAAGUUGUCAGGGAUGGCUGACACAGUCGGCAAGUUCAGCACCACAGUGGACGGGUCGACCAGGGUGGCGGUGGCGACGGUGGCGAAGACCGGCACGUCGGCGGCAGCGGGGUAGUAGGCGGCACCGCUGGCCUGGGGGCCCCAGCGCACGGCUGCGUUUCCGGACUUGAUGUUCAUCACGUCGCCGGCCUUGUAGAUGGGGCUGGCGGUGUUGAGCACCACGCCCUUGGUGUCGGGCGUGAGGGCGCAGCUGGUGAAGGGGUUGACGGCGUCCACACCCGCCACAUCCGUGUAGCGCACCGCGGCGUUGCAGUCGGCAGCGGCCGUGGCGGCGGGCAGGGAGCUGACCGCCGGCAGGCUGAAGGCGACUGAGGUGGGGGCAACCAGGGUAGCCUUGGCACCGAAGGGGCGCGGCGAGAUGGUGGUGGCGGUGGGGUAGGGAACCAGGUUGGUGCCGCCCACGCCGCCCACCUUGGCCGAGGUCUGGUCCUUGACCACAUUAAUUGCGUCGCCGGGCACGUAGGCGUCCGCCGAGCUCAGGGUGAUGGUGACCGAUAGGCCAUCUGGCGCAAGGGCGCAGCUGGCAAUUGGGCUGGUGGUCUUGGUGGUGUUGCCGGCGCCGCUGAACACAAACACGGCGUCGCAGUCGGCCUUGGAGGUGAAGCUGACGGUGGUGACGGCGGCCAUCGUGACCAGCACGGUGGUGGGCGCGGUCAGGAUGGCAUCAUCAAAGUUGGCGUAGAUGGGCUUGGUGGCGCCUGCUGCGCCGCUGGCGUACGCAAUGCUGCCGACCAGGGCGGUGUUGCCGCUCUUGAUCAGGACCUCAUCGCCCGACACGAAUGGCGUGCCGGCGGCCAGCGUCACAACCAGGUAGUAGCCGGUGGCGUCCGAGGCAACCGUGCAGGCGCCUGACACGGUGCGAGUGGUGGUGGGGGUGGCGGAGGCGCGGACGGUGACCACGGUCGAGCAGUCGUUGUCCGUCGCGAUGGAGCUGACCACGGGCAGGGCAACCGACAGGGUGUUGGGGCCGACGGCGUAGGCCGCGUUGAUGAAGCCGGGCGCAAUCACCACGUCAGAGCUGCGCGCGAUGUAGGCCUGGCCCGAGCUGCUGGUGGUGGCCACCAGGUACUUGUCGGUGUUGGCGCUGUCGGUGUUGGAGGCCAGGAUGUUGAUCUUGUCGCCCGCCUGGAAGACCUGGUCAGACGCCAGGGUGACCGUCAAGGUGGUGCUGCCGGAGCUGGACAGGCUGCAGGCGCCGGACGCAGACAGGGCCACGGUGCCGGAGCCGCGCUUGACCGACAGGAUCUUGCCGCACUCGGUCGCGGUCAGCGCAGUGCUGACUGCCGCUCCGCCAGACGUGCUCCAGAUAACACUGGUGACAGGAAGCGUGACCUCAAUGGUGGUGGCGGUGGUUGCCUUGGCCGAGGCGAUGGUGGGCUUGACAAUCAGAGUGCUGCCGACCUUGUAGGCGGGGCCAGUGUCCGAGGCAGCACGCAGCCAGGGCGUGGCCUGGGUGCUCUGCAGCGUCACGGUGUCGCCUGUAGGGAUGCGUUGAAGUGGACCGUGUGAGUUGUGAUGCAAAGACAGCACGACACCAUGCCCAGAGGACACCUGCCCAUGCGCCUGCUGCCCAAGUCCCUGCCUUACCGUCGGCGUAGGCGGUGCCGAGGCUGACGGUGAGCAGCGUCUUGGUGGUGUCCAGGACGCAGGGGGCGGUGACGGUGGAGGAGAUAGUGCGGCCUCCCGUGAGGCUCAGGAUGGCGCCGCACUGAGCGGCGGUG
rnacentral:lncRNA from 1 species